rnacentral:rRNA from 1 species
UACGUAGGGGCCUAGCGUUGUCCGGAUUUACUGGGCGUAAAGCGCGUGUAGGCGGCAUGGCAAGUCGGGUGUGAAAGCCCUCAGCUUAACUGAGGAAGUGCGCCCGAAACUGCCGUGCUUGAGUGCCGGAGAGGGUGGCGGAAUUCCCCAAGUAGAGGUGAAAUUCGUAGAUAUGGGGAGGAACACCGGUGGCGAAGGCGGCCACCUGGAUGGUAACUGACGCUGAGACGCGAAAGCGUGGGGAGCAAACAGG